UCGGGAAACUUUUGCAAUGCACGAAAGUGUGACAAAGCAAGCCAGAGUGUUGUUCUAAUUAUUGAACAACUUUUGCGGGAUGUAAAAAGUCCCGAGAAUAAGGACUGGGCAAGACCGGUGCCAGCCGCCGCGGUAAUCCCGGCAGUCCAAGUCGCAGCCACAUUUGUUGGGUCUAAAAUAUCCGUAGCUUGCCUUGUAAGUUUCUUGUCAAAUCGGGCCUCUCAAGGGUCCGGCGAGCAAGAAAUACUGCAGGGCUUAGAGACCGGGAGACGUAAAGAGUACGAUAAGAGUAGCGGUAAAAUGCGUUGAUCCUUAUCGGACUAACAAUAGCGAAGGCACUUUACGAGAACGGUUCUGACAGUGAGGGAUGAAGGCUAGGGGCGCAAAGUGG
rnacentral:rRNA from 1 species